rnacentral:misc_RNA from 1 species
GAUGAAGAACGUAGCAAAAUGCGAUAAGUAAUGUGAAUUGCAGAAUUCAGUGAAUCAUCGAAUCUUUGAACGCACAUGGCGCCUUCCAGUAUCCUGGGAGGCAUGCCUGUCCGAGCGUCGUUUCAACCCUCGAGCCCCCGUGGCCCGGCGUUGGGGAUCUGCCCAGGCAGUCCCCGAAAACCAGUGGCGGACCCGUUACAGGCCCUUCCCUUGCGUAGUAGCAUUCGCCUCGCAUCGGGAGCCGGCGGGCUUCCAGCCUCUAAACCCCCAUCAAGUCCGCCCCGGCGGCACCAAGGUUGACCUCGGAUCAGGUAGGAAUACCCGCUGAACUUAAGCAUAUCAAUAAGCGGAGGA